rnacentral:piRNA from 1 species
UGCUGUAUAUAGGCCAGUCACAAGCCCUU